rnacentral:rRNA from 1 species
UUUGACCUCAAAUCAGGUAGGACUACCCGCUGAACUUAAGCAUAUCAAUAAGCGGAGGAAAAGAAACUAACAAGGAUUCCCCUAGUAACUGCGAGUGAAGCGGGAAAAGCUCAAAUUUAAAAUCUGGUAGUCUUUGGCUGCCCGAGUUGUAAUCUAGAGAAGCAUUAUCCGCGCUGGACUGUGUAUAAGUGUCCUGGAAUGGAUCAUCAUAGAGGGUGAGAAUCCCGUCUUUGACACAGACUCCCAGUGCUUUGUGAUGUGCUCUCAAAGAGUCGAGUUGUUUGGSAAUGCAGCUCUAAAUGGGUGGUAAAUUCCAUCUAAAGCUAAAUAUUGGCGAGAGACCGAUAGCGAACAAGUACCGUGAGGGAAAGAUGAAAAGAACUUUGGAAAGAGAGUUAAACAGUACGUGAAAUUGCUGAAAGGGAAACGCUUGAAGUCAGUCGCGUUGGCUGGGGAUCAACCUUGCUUUUGCUUGGCUUACUUCCCAGUUGACGGGUCAGCAUCAGUUUUGACCGGUGGAUAAAGG